rnacentral:misc_RNA from 1 species
UCUUCUGUCAGCUCAGUUCUCACCUC